CAACUACUCCCUCUGUCCCAAAUUUCUUGUCUUAGAUUUGUCUAGAUACGGAUGUAUCUAAUACUAAAAUGUGACUUGAUACAUCCGUAUCUAGACAAAUCUAAGACAAGAAUUUUGAGACGGAGGGAGUAAUUU
rnacentral:pre_miRNA from 1 species